UCCGUGUCUUGUGCCUGCAUUUCUAGAGUC
rnacentral:piRNA from 2 species